UACGUAGGGGGCUAGCGUUGUCCGGAAUCAUUGGGCGUAAAGCGCGUGUAGGCGGCCCGGUAGGUCCGCUGUGAAAGUCGGGGGCUCAACCCUCGGAUGCCGGUGGAUACUGUCGGGCUAGAGUGCGGAAGAGGCGAGUGGAAUUCCUGGUGUAGCGGUGAAAUGCGCAGAUAUCAGGAGGAACACCCGUAGCGAAGGCGGCACUCUGGGCCGAUACUGACACUGAGGAGCGAAAGCGUGGGGAGCGAACAGG
rnacentral:rRNA from 1 species